rnacentral:rRNA from 1 species
AUUGAACGCUGGCGGCAGGCCUAACACAUGCAAGUCGAACGAGUGGCGGACGGGUGAGUAAUGUCUGGGAAACUGCCUGAUGGAGGGGGAUAACUACUGGAAACGGUAGCUAAUACCGCAUACCAUCGGAUGUGCCCAGAUGGGAUUAGCUAGUAGGUGGGGUAAAGGCUCACCUAGGCGACGAUCCCUAGCUGGUCUUAGAGGAUGACCAGGCACAAUGGGACUGAGGCACGGUCCCGACUCCUCCGGGGGGCAGCGGUGGGGAAUAUUGCACAAUGGGGGCAAGCCUGAUGCAGCCAAGCCGCGUGGAUGAAGAAGGCCUUCGGGUUGGAAAGUUCUUUCAGCGGGGAGGAGUUGCCCGCAGAAAAAGCACCGGCUAACUCCGUGCCAGCAGCCGCGGUAAUAC